CCCGAGGUGAAAGGUGUCCGUGGAUGCAGGUCCAAGGGAGACCUAUGAGGUAAUCUCUUAGGAAGCAGCUCUGGAGUCCUAGGUCAAGGCUCAACAGCAAAAAUUAUGAGUCAUCAGGUUACAAAAGAAACAAUUGAUCAAAAAGGGUUUGGUUCCUUGAUCAUCUCCUUUUAAGAAAACAACAGUGUGGGAUGUGGGACUAUUCAGAUGGUCCACAGCAGCAGACUGUUUGCCUCGUACCCACUCUGACAGGAGCUCCUUGACAGCUGCAGAUAGUUUAGAUCUGAGGACUCUGGAGAGGGAAUAAAGGCCAGACCCCGGAGAGUAUUGGGGUGCUCCCACCUUCUGUUCCUGGUUGCUGUUGGUGCAGUGUGGCAAGAAGUUGGAGAUCUCCUAAAAAGAAGAUUGGACUUGCCCCAAGAGAUUUCUAGCCUCAUCCUAAAAAAGAACGCAUCGAAUUUCUACAGAAGGGUGCCGAGUCCAUCUUCAAAAGAAAAGCAAAAGGCAUAGCUUUAUGUCCUUUGCACCACUCACCUGCACGUGGCCAUUUUUGCCUCUGGGAAGCUGCAAACCCAGUGCUGGGUCAGCCUUUCUAGCCCACAGACCAGCGGCCUUUGCCUGCAGUGUGGCUGCUUGCUUUGCAGGCGUUUGAAAGCAAAGGUUCACUGAGAUUUGGGCCCUGUUUAUUUUCUCUGAGAACAGAUCCCUGGAGGCUGACGGUAUGUCCCCUCUCUGAUUUCCUGUGAAUUAUGCCUUCCCGAGUCACUGACUCAUCUCUUGCUAUCAAGAUGUAAACUCCCCAAGAACAGGAGAACAGCAUCCUCCUCUCUGAGUAGGUGUGAUUAAAUUUUACAGUGACAGCACACGUGUACAAAGGCAGGUGCGACCAGGAGAGUCACGGAGCCUCGGGGCAAUCAUUCCUGAGCCUGUCCAUUCACGCGCCAAGUUGCUCACUGCACACUGCUGCUUCCCUGCAGGCCUAAGAUGGAGGGCGGUGACAUUACUGGUGGGGAGGCUUUACGUCACUGCAGACCUUCUGGAAGGCGUGACCUUCAGGUGUGAAGCCUGCAGAUGCUGAGCAGUGGCUGGCUUACCAGAGCGGAGAGUAGGACGGACACAGUGGUGUUCAAGCUCCUCACUGCCCUUUCUUUGUCGGCAACAGCGCCCUUCUAAUUGCCCAUCCUCCCGGGUUCUCCCUGUAAUAAUCUACCAGACAGGGGCUGGAGAGACGGCUCAGCAGUUAAGAGCACUGAAUGUUCCUGCCAGAGGACCGGAGUUCAAUUCCCAGCACCCACAUGGCAGCUCACAACGGUCUGUAAUUCCUGUUCCAGGAAUCCGACACCCUCACACAGAUUUACAUGCAGUCAAAACACCAAUGUACGUAGAAUAAAAAUAAAUAAACUAUUAAAAAAACAAUCUACCAGAUGGACAUGAGAUCCUGAGCGUUUUCAGUCAACUGUUUUACCUGCCCUGUCCUAUGCUAGAAAAUCGCUAAACUGCUUUGGGUUAAAGUACUCCAGUGCUGUAAAUGAACAGAAAUCAGGAGACUUAGAAUCAAAGGGUGAUUGGCUCAGAGAGUCACCUGUACAAUAUUUUUGAACUAUUUGAGCCUUAAAUUAUCUUUAACACAUGGACAGAUAAUCCAUGAUUUAGAGGGACAUCUUGAAAAUUAAACAGGAAAUGAUAUGGAAAGGAACAAGUGUGCAAAAAGGCUGUUUUUCAAGGUGCCGAUGGUCACUCACACAUUAUCAAGUCCUGGAUACUCAAUUCAGGAGCGGGAAUUCUGAGAGUGAAAGGUACCUGUGAAGUGAAGAUAUCCUGGGAAAAAGGCCUCUCUGGAAGUUUUCCAUGUCCUGAAAGUGAAUACAUCUGUGUGUUAAGCUGUGGGUGUAGAUAAGUGUUUGACCAGGAGUGAGGAGCCUGCCCUUGGCUGACCUAGCCUUUGGCCCAGGAAAUGACUCACUCAUAAACCUCAUUGAUGGCUCCCGUCUCUUCUGCUUCCAGGAGAAGAAACUCCAUUUCAUGCUUACUGAGGAAGGACUACAUUUUUAUUUUUCCAGCUAAGUCCCUCUCCCCCAUCUUCUUUUAUGUUGACUUGUUGUUGGCUGAUAUGCAUAAAGAUACUUUGAAAAAAUUAGUCUUCCUCCCUUCUUUUCUUCCUCUCUGCCCUCUCCCCAUUUUUCUUCUUU